GAUAAACGCUGGCGGCGUGCCUAAUACAUGCAAGUCGAACGAGGAGUUCUUGUAGCAAUACGGGGACUUCCUAGUGGCGAAUGGGUGAGUAACGCGUUGGUGACCUACCCCAAAGAGAGGAAUAACUCCGGGAAACUGGAGCUAAUACCCCAUGUGGUUACCAGGGUUAGAGGCCUGGCAACUGAAGGAGCAAUCCACUUUGGGAGGGACCUGCGUCCCAUCAGCUUGUUGGUAGGGUAACGGCCUACCAAGGCUACGACGGGUAGGGGGCCUGAGAGGGUGGCCCCCCACACUGGCACUGAAACACGGGCCAGACACCUACGGGUGGCAGCAGUAGGGAAUAUUGCACAAUGGGCGAAAGCCUGAUGCAGCAACGCCGCGUGCGCGAUGAAGACCUUCGGGCUGUAAAGCGCUUUUCUGAAAGACGAGGAAGGACGGUACUUCAGGAAUAAGGAUCGGCUAACUACGUGCCAGCAGCCGCAGUAAAAC
rnacentral:rRNA from 1 species